CAAGUCGAACGGUGUCUUCGGACACAGUGGGCGGACGGGUGAGUAACGCGUGAGAAUCUGCCUCUAGGUUGGGGACAACAGUUGGAAACGACUGCUAAUACCCGAUGUGCCGUAAGGUAAAAGAUUUAUUGCCUGGAGAGGAGCUCGCGUCUGAUUAGCUAGUUGGUGGGGUAAAAGCCCACCAAGGCAGCGAUCAGUAGCUGGUCUGAGAGGAUGAGCAGCCACACUGGGACUGAGACACGGCCCAGACUCCUACGGGAGGCAGCAGUGGGGAAUUUUCCGCAAUGGGCGAAAGCCUGACGGAGCAAUACCGCGUGAGGGAGGAAGGCCUUUGGGUUGUAAACCUCUUUUCUCAGGGAAGAAGAUCUGACGGUACCUGAGGAAUAAGCAUCGGCUAACUCCGUGCCAGCAGCCGCGGUAAUACGGAGGAUGCAAGCGUUAUCCGGAAUCAUUGGGCGUAAAGCGUCCGCAGGUGGUUUUUCAAGUCUGCUGUUAAAGACUGGAGCUCAACUCCGGAAAGGCAGUGGAAACUGGAAGACUAGAGUUCGGUAGGGGUAGCGGGAAUUCCCAGUGUAGCGGUGAAAUGCGUAGAUAUUGGGAAGAACAUCGGUGGCGAAGGCGCGCUACUGGACCGAAACUGACACUCAGGGACGAAAGCUAGGGGAGCGAAAGGGAUUAGAUACCCCUGUAGUCCUAGCUGUAAACGAUGGAAACUAGGUGUGGCUUGUAUCGACCCGAGCCGUGCCGUAGCUAACGCGUUAAGUUUCCCGCCUGGGGAGUACGCACGCAAGUGUGAAACUCAAAGGAAUUGACGGGGGCCCGCACAAGCGGUGGAGUAUGUGGUUUAAUUC
rnacentral:rRNA from 1 species